CGUUAACCCCCCGCCCCGUGGAUAAGACUGAAGCAGCAGUGUUUACCUGACCCCAGGAGGCGCCACCACCCAUCUUAUUUAUGGUAACAGGACUGAAGUUCAGCAUAUAUUGUUAAUCAUGUUCAAGAUCAUGCCGGCAGCACCCGAGCCUCGCCGCCAGGAGAGAGGAGGCAUUAAGGGAGCCAUUUUAAAUGUAUAUUAUGACCCUUUUAAAUGGUCUUUGGUGAAGAGUGUCCUCUUCUUCAUUGUUGGAGUGAAGACUGCUAAUGAUUUUGUUGGAUUUGAUCCCUUGAGCCCAAAUUCUCCAUAAAUAUAUUAUUUUUAUGAGUGGGUAUGUCUGCUGUACGUUUGUGCAUUGAAUAAUACGUAGUUUAAUGGCUUGUUUAAGCGAAACUUAUAAUCAGUGAGUGUCAGGUUUGAAGGCUGUUAAUAAACUGUAACAAAUCAUU